ensembl:lncRNA
ACGGAGGGCGAGAGCCACCUCUCCGCACCUGAGUGGGAAAUGGAGCUCGCCGGACCCCGAGGCCACCCUGUAAGCAGGGUAGUGCCGUUUCCCUGCCCCUCUUCCUCCCCCGGCCCCUCGGCAUCGUUGCCUGAUGGUGGCUUGUCAAUGCGACGGCCCCGUACUCGGGGUGUGUGUCCCAAGCUUUGGAGCCCUCUGUCCCUGAGCAGCCCGCCCGCCCUGUAACCAGGUGUGGGGAGGCUGCAGCGUUGCAGCCGGCUGCUUUAGCCGUCCAGCUGGUGGGAGUGACCCCUCCCUGUCCCGUCAGAGGGUGCAGGUUGAGGUGCUGUUUGUGUGUGGGGUGACCUCCCCGCUCGGUGGGUCGAGGUAGCUCCCUGGGCUUCCAAAGACGAGACGUUGGUGAUGUUCUGCUGCUGCCGGGCGGGCCAGCCUGUAACUCAGGCGUUGGCGGGAGCCUCGUGCUCCGCGGGGCUUCUUGAAGAGGGUGAGGUGUGGGGGUACCGUCCUGUAGGCAGGGCUGUGUGUGCCCCCCGUGUGUGCUUGGUGAGCUGCAUUCUGAGAGACCCCCUGUACUCAGGUGGGAAUGUGGCCCCGGCCUUUCAGAGGCGCGGGGCCGUGAGAUGCGGGGUGGGGCUUGCGCCCUCCCUGGAAUCGGGGCUGGGAUCCCGACUGCGGCCUUUGGCCGUGCCGCCCCGCUGCCUGGCUGCUGAGAGUUGCUCCUGCCGCUGGGGGGGAAACCGAGCUCUGUGGCUCCAGGGGUGUUGUCCACCCGCCUGUAAUCAGGGUCUGGGUGCGCGAGCGUUUGUGCUCUGCUGGCAGCCUGUGUGGGGUGACCGCCCCGCUAGCGGGGUGUGGGUCGAGGUGCCCCGGACUGGGAGAGAAGGAGCCUCCCUUGGCCGUAGGGAUGGGGGCUGCCCUGUAAGUCAGGGAGCAUCUGUGUCCCGGAGUCCCAGGCCCUUUUCAAUGGCGGCAGUGGCCGGGGGUCCCCUGUAAGCAGGGAAGCUGACUCUUUGGCUGCUGCUUUUUGUGUGCCCAGCCCCAUUUGCCCGGUCUGCCCGCCUCUGUGAUCCCCCGCAGCACUGGCUGGAAGUCCGCCGCGUGUCAGUGAGGAGCUGCUUCAGAAGAAAGAAGAAGCGGUGUGGGGACCUGGGCUGCAAAAUCAAGAUGGGGUAUCUGUUGACUGUUUUUCUUGUAUUUCUUUGCCUUUUGGAGCCACAGUUUUGAACGGUUGUGUAAGACUUUAUCACUCUUUUUGUCAGCGUUGUCAGUUGUGAAUAAAGCUUUUUUUCCAUGUUGUUUUUCUUGUUAUAUUUGCUGUUCAUUUCCUUUGUGUAUUUAUUCUUGGUUUUGAGUCUUUGGUAGCAUUAAUUAUUUUGUUUCUUACUAGUUGAUUUUCCUGCCAAGCUUUCUCACAGAAUCUCAGAGUGGUGCAGGUUUGAAGG